GGCUGAAUUGCCUUGGAGUACUGGAAUAAAAUUCAUUUUGUAUGCACUUCCUGCACCGUGUUUUGUUCCAAGGAACAUCAGCUGAAGCACUCGGCUGGUGAAGUGUUUGUGUUCCCAGAGGCACUUCUACUGAGAAGCCUCGGCUGUGCUCAGGAACCUUGAGCUAAGCCAGGUGAGCCGACACACAGAAGGGCAAACUGCUCAGCCUCCUAAGAGACACACAGAGAGAAAGAAGGGAAACACAUCCUGGGCACUGUUUGGACCUAUGAAAAGUGCAUCGUUGUCACGACAGGCACUAUGUUCCAGUUUUCAUCUGAAAAGACAAAUCUUAGAAGGGAAGCCAAGGGAGGCGGUGCUUUUAUUCCUCCUGGGAAGCAGCAACCCGGACUCAUCCCGGAAGCAAUUUGGUUACGGUGUUUCAUCACAGCAACAGAACCCUAACUGAGACACCUGUGAAAAAUUACAUAUAUCUAACAUGAAAAUGCAAUCCAGUCCAAAAGGAAGGAAUGGGAACAUAAUGAGAACCAGAGGAAGACGGAAACCCAGCAGGGCAAACAUCAAAUCCCGUAACUCCAUGUCUAGUAUCAGGGGCUCUAUUGCCAAAACAUUUAAAUAGCCCUGCCCCUUCUGCUUCGCUGCCUGCGACAUACACCUGUCUCUGAAGCUGACUACACCCCUUGUGUGUAGUUCUUCUUGUCAUAUGUUCACAGACCUGGCAUUUCCAACACCUUGGGAUUUCCACUGCAGUCCAGGCUUUACCUUCACGGCUUCCUGCAAUGGCCUCCACGGCUCUUCGCACUGAUUCCAGCCCCGCCACAUAUUGCCUGGCUUCAGUGGCUCUCUGAACCCACAGAGAAAGAACCCACGACCCCCUCACUCUGGCAUCAUUCAUGUCUCAAAAGAAAGAGCUACAUGGAGGGCACUGCCACGUUUGGCUGCCAACUUGAGAAGAACUCUUGUUCCCAUGGACUGCAUUUAUAGGAGCUCUGUAAAGUUUUCUAGAACUGGGAAACUCCUUAGGCCUUUCCCAAGUUGGAAGGCUUUACCCUGGGAGCACCCUUCUUAUUAUUAAUGCAGCGUAGGGGGUUUUCUUUAAUGGCAUUAAUCUCAUCAACAAUCACAACCUUUUCUUCAGCACAUGACCUGGUUGGAACAUUUGCCUCUUAAGAUCUUUUCCCUUUUCCUCUAAGAUCUGCACAUUUUAUAUUUCUUUCUGCCCCACUUGCUAUUUUUCCAUUGUAAACCUGCAUUAGACUAAUAAAAAACAACCCUGCUAAA